AUGUUACUGGGCCCACCCAUAACCCCAGCCAUACUCUGGACCUGGUUAUUACCAAGGGGUUUUCUACUGGGCCCACCCAUAACCACAGCCAUACUCUGGACCUGGUUAUUACCAAGGGGUUUUCUACUGGGCCCACCCAUAACCACAGCCAUACUCUGGACCUGGUUAUUACCAAGGGGUUUUCUACUGGGCCCACCCAUAACCACAGCCAUACUCUGGACCUGGUUAUUACCAAGGGGUUUUCUACUGGGCCCACCCAUAACCACAGCCAUACUCUGGACCUGGUUAUUACCAAGGGGCUUUCUACUGGGCCCACCCAUAACCACAGCCAUACCCUGGACCUGGUUAUUACCAAGGGGUUUUCUACUGGGCCCACCCAUAACCACAGCCAUACCCUGGACCUGGUUAUUACCAAGGGGUUUUCUACUGGGCCCACCCAUAACCACAGCCAUACUCUGGACCUGGUUAUUACCAAGGGGUUUUCUACUGGGCCCACCCAUAACCACAGCCAUACUCUGGACCUGGUUAUUACCAAGGGGUUUUCUACUGGGCCCACCCAUAACCACAGCCAUACUCUGGACCUGGUUAUUACCAAGGGGUUUUCUACUGGGCCCACCCAUAACCACAGCCAUACUCUGGACCUGGUUAUUACCAAGGGGUUUUCUACUGGGCCCACCCAUAACCACAGCCAUACUCUGGACCUGGUUAUUACCAAGGGGCUUUCUACUGGGCCCACCCAUAACCACAGCCAUACUCUGGACCUGGUUAUUACCAAGGGGUUUUCUACUGGGCCCACCCAUAACCACAGCCAUACUCUGGACCUGGUUAUUACCAAGGGGUUUUCUACUGGGCCCACCCAUAACCACAGCCAUACUCUGGACCUGGUUAUUACCAAGGGGUUUUCUACUGGGCCCACCCAUAACCACAGCCAUACUCUGGACCUGGUUAUUACCAAGGGGUUUUCUACUGGGCCCACCCAUAACCACAGCCAUACUCUGGACCUGGUUAUUACCAAGGGGCUUUCUACUGGGCCCAGCCAUAACCACAGCCAUACUCUGGACCUGGUUAUUACCAAGGGGAUUUCUACUGGGCCCAGCCAUAACCACAGCCAUACUCUGGACCUGGUUAUUACCAAGGGGCUUUCUACUGGGCCCAGCCAUAACCACAGCCAUACUCUGGACCUGGUUAUUACUAAGGGGCUUUCUAAUGGGCCCAGCCAUAACCACAGCCAUACUCUGGACCUGGUUAUUACUAAGGGGCUUUCUAAUGGGCCCACCCAUAACCGUGGCCAUACUCUGGACCUGGUUAUUACCAAGGGGCUUUCUACUGGGCCCAGCCAUAACCACAGCCAUACUCUGGACCUGUUUAUUAGCAAGGGGCAUUCUACUGGGCCCACUCAUAACCACAGCCAUACUCUGGACCUGGUUAUUACCAAGGGGCUUUCUACUGGGCCCACUCAUAACCACAGCCAUACUCUGGACCUGGUUAUUACCAAGGGGC
rnacentral:lncRNA from 8 species